AAUAGAUACCCGGGUAGUCCACGCCGUAAACGGUGGGCACUAGGUGUGGGCGACAUUCCACGUCGUCCGUGCCGCAGCUAACGCAUUAAGUGCCCCGCCUGGGGAGUACGGCCGCAAGGCUAAAACUCAAAGGAAUUGACAGGGGCCCGCACAAGCGGCGGAGCAUGUGGCUUAAUUCGACGCAACGCGAAGAACCUUACCAAGGCUUGACAUACACCGGAAACGUCCAGAGAUGGGCGCCCCCUUGUGGUCGGUGUACAGGUGGUGCAUGGCUGUCGUCAGCUCGUGUCGUGAGAUGUUGGGUUAAGUCCCGCAACGAGCGCAACCCUUGUCCCGUGUUGCCAGCAGGCCCUUGUGGUGCUGGGGACUCACGGGAGACCGCCGGGGUCAACUCGGAGGAAGGUGGGGACGACGUCAAGUCAUCAUGCCCCUUAUGUCUUGGGCUGCACACGUGCUACAAUGGCCGGUACAAUGAGCUGCGAUACCGCGAGGUGGAGCGAAUCUCAAAAAGCCGGUCUCAGUUCGGAUUGGGGUCUG
rnacentral:rRNA from 1 species